rnacentral:rRNA from 1 species
CCAGACUCCUACGGGAGGCAGCAGUGGGGAAUAUUGGACAAUGGGGGGAACCCUGAUCCAGCGACGCCGCGUGAGUGAAGAAGUAUUUCGGUAUGUAAAGCUCUAUCAGCAGGGAAGAAAAUGACGGUACCUGACUAAGAAGCCCCGGCUAACUCCGUGCCAGCAGCCGCGGUAAUACGGAGGAUGCGAGCGUUAUCCGGAUUUAUUGGGUUUAAAGGGUGCGCAGGCGGAAUGUCAAGUCAGCGGUAAAAUUUCGGGGCUCAACCCCGUCGUGCCGUUGAAACUGGCGUUCUUGAGUGAGCGAGAAGUAUGCGGAAUGCGUGGUGUAGCGGUGGAAUGCGCAGAUAUCGGGAAGAACACCGAUGGCGAAGGCAGCCUGCUGGGCCGCCACUGACGCUGAGGCGCGAAAGCUGGGGGAGCGAACAGGAUUAGAUACCCGUGUAU